UGGGGAAUAUUGCGCAAUGGGGGAAACCCUGACGCAGCGACGCCGCGUGAGCUAUGAAGGUCUUAGGGUUGUAAAGCUCUGUUUUAAGGGACGAAUGUUACGUGGAGUAAUAUACCCUGUAAAUGACGGUACCUUAAGAGGAAGCCCCGGCUAACUACGUGCCAGCAGCCGCGGUUAGACGUAGGGGGCGAGCGUUGUCCGGAAUUACUGUGCGUAAAGAGCACGUAGGCGGGAACUUAAGUCAGGUGUGAAAGAGCGGGGCUGAAACACGGGGGUGCAAUUGAAACUGGGUGAAUUGAGAGCAGGAGAGGAAAGUAGAAAUCCUGGUGUAGCGGAGAAAUGCGUAGAAAUCAGGAGGAAUACAAGUGGCGAAGGCGACUUUCUGGACUGACCCUGACGCUGAGGAGCGAAAGCGUGGGUAGCAAACAG
rnacentral:rRNA from 1 species